CCGGCUCUGCAGGGUAGGGCGCUGCGCUAUCACCUGAUUGCCACGCGCACCGCCCCCAUAAGUAAGUGCGGAGGGGGGGGGGGGGAAUGGUAGUGUCUGGUAUAUGACACCACCGCCCCCUCCCCUGUGUGCCUUGUGUGCGCUGCCUGCCAGCCUCACAGCUGCCGCCGCCAGGGAAGAAUGCCUGCCUGCCUGCCUGCCUGCCUGCCGGUGCAGCCCCACUGUCUUGCUACAGCAAAACCAAUAAAUAACCAUCUGUACAAAUACCUGCAUCUUGAACGUCUUCAAUACGGCUGACAUUACUACUGCUUCCUGUAUUCAAGUCAGUGCAGCAUGAUUGUGGAGGUGGGUCACUACUAACUGUCUCUCUGGCUUCAAAAGUCCACCCUGUGUUAAUCUCCCUAUAUAAUAAUGCAAGUUAUGCAAAUGGAUGGACAGCUUUCCUAACAAAGCACAUCACCCUGGACAUGCAG